GCAAACUUGGUCAUUUAGAGGAAGUAAAAGUCGUAACAAGGUCUCCGUUGGUGAACCAGCGGAGGGAUCAUUAUAGAGUUUUCUAAACUCCCAAACCCAUGUGAACUUACCAUUGUUGCCUCGGCAGAACCUACCCGGUACCUACCCUGGAACUAGCUACCCUGUAGCUACCCAGGAACGGGCUACCCUGUAACGUCCUGCCGGUGGACUUCUAAACUCUUGUUAUUUAUAGUAAUCUGAGCGUCUUAUUUUAAUAAGUCAAAACUUUCAACAACGGAUCUCUUGGUUCUGGCAUCGAUGAAGAACGCAGC
rnacentral:misc_RNA from 1 species